rnacentral:lncRNA from 1 species
GGCAUCUUUACUUUCCACAAAUAACUUUACCCUAUCAUGUGCCUGUUCAAAUAAUAUUUAAUAUUUUUUAAUCUGUUACAGUUAGAAAAAUUUUAGACAUAUCUGUGGAUUUCGUAAUAAAUUGUGGUAUCACAUAAAGUUUUUCUAACUACCCACUUUGCUUAUUGUCAAAAUAUUGCGAUUUUUCGGUUCAUGUGGUCAAAUGUGGUUGCAGAGUUAUCGGAAAACAUUUCGUUUUUGAAAUAGAAAAUUAAAGUGCAGGUAUUCUCAUCAUGCCUCCGCAAAGAAGCC